UACGGGAGGUGGCAAGCGUUGCUCGGAAUCACUGGGCGUAAAGGGCGCGUAGGCGGGGAGGUAAGUCGGGUGUGAAAUCCCUCGGCCCAACCGAGGAACUGCGCCCGAGACUGCUUCUCUUGAGUCCCGGAGAGGAGGAUGGAAUUCCCGGUGUAGCGGUGAAAUGUGUAGAGAUCGGGAGGAACACCGGUGGCGAAGGCGGUCUCUGGACGGUGACUGACGCUGAGGCGCGAAAGCGUGGGGAGCAAACGGG
rnacentral:rRNA from 1 species